rnacentral:rRNA from 1 species
AGUUUGAUCAUGGCUCAGGAUGAACGCUAGCGGCAGGCUUAACACAUGCAAGUCGAGGGGUAUAGUAGCAAUACUAGAGACCGGCGCACGGGUGCGUAACGCGUAUGCAACCUACCUUUUACAGAGGGAUAGCCCAGAGAAAUUUGGAUUAAUACCUCAUAGUGUUAUUAGAUGGCAUCAUUUGAUAACUAAAGUUCCAACGGUAAAAGAUGGGCAUGCGUCCUAUUAGCUAGAUGGUAAGGUAACGGCUUACCAUGGCUACGAUAGGUAGGGGUCCUGAGAGGGAGAUCCCCCACACUGGUACUGAGACACGGACCAGACUCCUACGGGAGGCAGCAGUGAGGAAUAUUGGACAAUGGGCGCAAGCCUGAUCCAGCCAUGCCGCGUGCAGGAAGAAGCAUCUAUGGUGUGUAAACUGCUUUUGUACGGGAAGAAACACUCCUACGUGUAGGAGCUUGACGGUACCGUAAGAAUAAGGAUCGGCUAACUCCGUG